rnacentral:rRNA from 1 species
CUGUCUUAGUGGCGGACGGGUGAGUAACGCGUGGGCAACCUGCCCUNUACCGGGGGAUAACACUUAGAAAUAGGUGCUAAUACCGCAUAAUAGGGAAUACCGCAUGGUAAUCCUUUGAAAACUCCGGUGGUACAGGAUGGGCCCGCGUCUGAUUAGCCAGUUGGCGGGGUAACGGCCCACCAAAGCGACGAUCAGCAGCCGGCCUGAGAGGGUGGACGGCCACACUGGGACUGAGACACGGCCCAGACUCCUACGGAAGGCAGCAG